UACGUAGGGUGCGAGCGUUAAUCGGAAUUACUGGGCGUAAAGCGUGCGCAGGCGGUUUUGUAAGUCAGAUGUGAAAUCCCCGGGCUUAACCUGGGAACUGCGUUUGAAACUACAAGGCUAGAGUGUGGCAGAGGGGGGGUGGAAUUCCACGUGUAGCAGUGAAAUGCGUAGAGAUGUGGAGGAACACCGAUGGCGAAGGCAGCCCCCCUGGGCUAACACUGACGCUCAUGCACGAAAGCGUGGGGAGCAAACAGG
rnacentral:rRNA from 1 species